GAUGAGGUACUACUACCACCUAUAAUAUAAAUUUCAUAUUUUUUCUUACACUCAUUCACAUUCAUCAAUAUUUUUCUAAAUCAAGAAGAGAGGGAGUGAGAAAGAGGAUUCAGAAAUGUGUCCGCUCAGAAUAAUUUUGAUUUUCCUCUCUGCAACCCUCGCCGGAUUCUUCCUUCUCAGAAACCUCAAUUCCUCGCCUGACCUCCCAAACGACGCCGUCAAAGAAGAAUCCGACUCAUCUGAUUCCAUUCCCCUUUCUUCUAAGGUUUGCACGGCGUUUGGGAAGGGAUUUUGGACUUGCGUGGACAUGGCAAGCGGUAGAUAUCUGUGGAGGAAUCUGGUUUCGUCAACGCCUAAGAUUUCUGCUGAUUAAUUCAAUUGGUAAUGUUGUAAUUGGUCAUAGAGUCGAUCUUCUUAUGUUAAUUUCUUGUAAUUGUGUGAUCAAUUCUCAAAUCUCGAUGAUGAACCCUUCAAAAUUUAUACUACUAUAUACUUAUUAUUUGUAGAGCACCAUGAAUUGUAUGUACUACUGUGCUGCUGGUAUGAAACGAUGAUUCUUUGUAUAGUUUCAGAGUAUAUAAUGUAUAUCCCUUUCUUAUUGAUUUCA